rnacentral:rRNA from 1 species
AACCCCUAUCAUCUGUUGCCAGCAUUUAAGUGGGGACUCAGAUGAGACUGCCGGUGACAAACCGGAGGAAGGUGGGGACGACGUCAAGUCAUCAUGGCCCUUAUGUCCUGGGCUACACACGUGCUACAAUGGCCGGUACAGAGUGAAGCGAAACCGCGAGGUGAAGCAAAACGCAGAAAGCCGGUCUCAGUACGGAUUGGAGUCUGAAACUCGACUUCAUGAAGUUGGAAUCGCUAGUAAUCGCGCAUCAGCAUGGCGCGGUGAAUACGUUCCCGGGCCUU